rnacentral:rRNA from 1 species
UACAGAGGGUGCAAGCGUUGUUCGGAAUUAUUGGGCGUAAAGCGCGUGUAGGCGGCUUUGCAAGUCGGGUGUGAAAGCCCUCAGCUCAACUGAGGAAGUGCGCCCGAAACUGCAGAGCUUGAGUACCGGAGAGGAUGGCGGAAUUCCCCAAGUAGAGGUGAAAUUCGUAGAUAUGGGGAGGAACACCGGUGGCGAAGGCGGCCAUCUGGACGGAUACUGACGCUGAGAUGCGAAAGCGUGGGGAGCAAACAGG